CCACGAUGGAACGCCAAAAGCGAAGGCAGGAUGCUGGCAGUGUACUGACGCUCAGAGACGAAAGCGUGGGGAGCAAAGGGGAUUAGAUACCCCCGUAGUCCACGCCUUAAACUAUGCGGGCUCGGUGUAGGGAUUUUACAAUUGAUCUCUGUGCCUUAGCUAACGCGGUAAGCCCGCCGCCUGGGAAGUACGGCCGCAAGGCUAAAACUCAAAGGAAUAAACGGGGACCCACACAAGCGGUGGAGCAUGGGGUUUAAUUCGAUGGUAAGCGAAGAACCUUACCCAGGCUUGACAUGCUAGGAACCCGGCCGAAAGGUCGGGGUGCCGCAAGGAACCUAGACACAGGCGCUGCACGGUCGUCGUCAGCUCGUGCCUUGAGGUGUACUGUUAAGUCAGCCAACGAGCGCAACCCUUAUCCUAUGUUGGUUUUUCAUGGGAGACUGCCGCCUCCAAGGCGGAGGAAGGUAGGGAUGACGUCAGAUCAGCGUGGCCUUUAUGCCUGGGGCUACACCCAUGCUACAAUGGCCGGUACAAAGGGAAGCAGACCCGCAAGGGGAAGCAAAUCCCAUCAAAGCCGGUCUCAGUUCGGAUUGAAGUCUGCAACUUGACUUCAUGAAGUUGGAAUCGCUAGUAACCGUGGAUCAGCCAUGCCACGGUGAAUAAGUUCCUGGGUCUUGUACUCACCGCCCGUCAACUCAUGAAAGGCAGGGGCACCCGAAGCACCUUUACUCGCAAGAGGAGGUACCACGGUGAAACUGCUGAUUGGGAGUAAGUCGUAACAAGGGUAACC
rnacentral:rRNA from 1 species